AGCAACUGUCUGAUGGUUACUGAGGAAAAGCAAGGGAACACGGAAAAUCCCAACACUAAAUCAGAGGGAUGUGGUUUAAUGGGGGGCUGUGUGCGAGAAAACCUGAUACAGGGGACGGGGCAGGGAAUUGGGGGGCUGGGCAGUGGGCCCCAAGCCUGGGCACUACCAGUCAGCACGACUCGCCCUCAGCAAGGGCACGGGAGGCUCGGAGCUGGGGGCGGGCGCUGCCAUGGGCCCUGCUGGCCUCACACCUGUGCCCUGGCCAGGUCCUGAGCUAAAGGGAUUUCUCUUCAAUCCCUGACACCUGGGGGGUCCCAGAGAGGGGCCGGCCCUUGCCCGGAGGCCCACAGUGGGAAGGCAAAUGGCAGCACUGGGUUCCUGCCAGGCCAGGCUGACCCCAGAACCCAGCUCCCCACCCCCCAGCCCAGAGGUCCCAGGGCUUGUCUGGGAAGGACCCCAGAGUGGGUGGGGGCCCUGCUGAGACCCUUGGGUACCCUCAUCUUUCCCUCAUGGGGUUGUUGUCCAAACUCCCACUGGCCCCAAGCACAGAGAAGUGCAGGGUCUGCCUCAGCCGAGACACCCCCUAAGGAAUCUGAGGGGGAAGUGGGGUGGGGAGACGACAGGGGCUGCAAUUCAGGCUUUAGGGAAUUGGGCGCAGGGGUCCCGUAAGGCGGGGCUGAUCCAUCUCCUUGCUACUGAUAAAGUGACAGCAACCACUGUCUGUGGCACCCCGCUAGAGGCCAGAUGUUCAUCUGUUUUCCCGUUUACAUCCAGGACAACCCUGACGCAGUGGGUCCGGCCACCGAGGCCCUGAGGCGCCCCCAGCCGCUGGGUGGCAGAGCCCCUGCCCCUGUUCUCACCCACUUUGCUAUGGGCAAAAAGCUGAGGCCUGGGGGCUGCGGACAGCAGAGUGUGCUACAGAGGUUAUUUUAGGGGUUUGUUCAAGACUGAAAAAGAGCCACGCAUUGCAUUUGCGUGUGACUUUGGGCUCAGUGCAUUUGGAGCCGUUCCCGAGGACCAGGGUCUGACAUGAGCCCACGGGCCACCGGGGCUGAUAGCAGUGUGCCAGGUCUCCUCUCUGCCACAGGGAAGUCUCUGGGGGUCCUGAGGGCUGCACUGCCCCGGUGCCCGGAGGGAGCUUACUAGAGCUUACUGGGGAGAGUCACCUUUAAAAGCCUCUGAUUCCAAAUUUAGUCACCACAGGGGACCUGAGGCCCCCCUCUAAGUCCUGGAAGGAGCCACUGUCAUGGGCAGAGCACCAAGGGGCAGCGGCUUCGGAAGCCCAGUCUGGUCCAGAGUACUAACGACCAGUGACCCAUGACUUUGGGAAGACUGUGGAAACUGGACCCCAGAUCUCCAGGAACAAGCUCUGGGCACUAGCUGGCCAAACUCCACGGCCCAGCUCAGAGUGGACAGACUGAGGGAGGCCGAGGGACCGAGGUGGAGCACCAGGCCGAUGCCUGGAAACCACCCACUUCCACCGCUGAGCCCUGACCUGGCCCCUCCAGCGAGCCCCAGCGAUGGAAGUAAGCUCUGAGAGGACUCACUGCUGAGCUGUAAGGCGCAACUCCAAAAGCUGCCCCGGAGCAGCACCCACGCCAGGUCACCCACCAUCUUGCCCCUUCCCAGAGGGAACCUAGGCUCUGGAUUUGAGGGUCACAUCCUCAUCACAGAAGCGUUUCGUCAGGCGUAUGGGUGCCUCACGGUGGACUGCUUAGUUUUGCCUGUUUCUGCAUUUCAGAAAAAUGGUUUCCCACUCGAGUCUUCUGGAAUCUGCUUUUUACUCCACCUUAACUUUCUAACAUUUAGCCACAUUAACAACAGCUUUUUGUUUCACAAUAAAUUUAUUUUCUUUAGAAAAGCAACACAGGCACUUCAGAGAAUGCAGC